rnacentral:siRNA from 1 species
UGCUUAUCUAUAUCAGGUCGGG